rnacentral:rRNA from 1 species
ACGCUGGCGGCAGGCUUAACACAUGCAGGUCGAACGGUAACAGGGAUUAGCUUGCUAAUCUGCUGACGAGUGGCGGACGGGUGAGUAAUGCUUGGGAAUCUGGCUUAUGGAGGGGGAUAACUACGGGAAACUGUAGCUAAUACCGCGUAAAAUCUUCGGAUUAAAGGGUGGGACUUUCGAGCCACCUGCCAUAAGAUGAGCCCAAGUGGGAUUAGGUAGUUGGUUAGGUAAAGGCUGACCAAGCCGACGAUCUCUAGCUGGUCUGAGAGGAUGACCAGCCACACUGGAACUGAGACACGGUCCAGACUCCUACGGGAGGCAGCAGUGGGGAAUAUUGCACAAUGGGGGGAACCCUGAUGCAGCCAUGCCGCGUGAAUGAAGAAGGCCUUCGGGUUGUAAAGUUCUUUCGGUGACGAGGAAGGUUGAUAGGUUAAUAGCCUAUCAAAUUGACGUUAAUCACAGAAGAAGCACCGGCUAACUCCGUGCCAGCAGCCGCGGUAAUACGGGGGGUGCGAGCGUUAAUCGGAAUAACUGGGCGUAAAGGGCACGCAGGCGGUGACUUAAGUGAGAUGUGAAAGCCCCGAGCUUAACUUGGGAAUUGCAUUUCAUACUGGGUCGCUAGAGUACUUUAGGGAGGGGUAGAAUUCCACGUGUAGCGGUGAAAUGCGUAGAGAUGUGGAGGAAUACCGAAGGCGAAGGCAGCCCCUUGGGAAUGUACUGACGCUCAUGUGCGAAAGCGUGGGGAGCAAACAGGAUUAGAUACCCUGGUAGUCCACGCUGUAAACGAUGUCGAUUUGGGGAUUGGGCUUUGAGCUUGGUGCCCGUAGCUAACGUGAUAAAUCGACCGCCUGGGGAGUACGGCCGCAAGGUUAAAACUCAAAUGAAUUGACGGGGGCCCGCACAAGCGG